rnacentral:rRNA from 1 species
UGGGGAAUUUUGGACAAUGGGGGCAACCCUGAUCCAGCAAUGCCGCGUGCAGGAAGAAGGCCUUCGGGUUGUAAACUGCUUUUGUACGGAACGAAAAGGCUCUGGUUAAUACCUGGGGCAUAUGACGGUACCGUAAGAAUAAGCACCGGCUAACUACGUGCCAGCAGCCGCGGUAAUACGUAGGGUGCAAGCGUUAAUCGGAAUUACUGGGCGGAAAGCGUGCGCAGGCGGUGCUGUAAGACAGGGGUGAAAUCCCCGGGCUUAACCUGGGAACGGCGCUUGGGACUGCAUGGCUGGAGUGUGGCAUAGGGGGAUGGAAUUCCGCGUGUAGCAGUGAAAUGCGGAGAUAUGCGGAGGAACACCGAUGGCGAAGGCAAUCCCCCGGGCCUGCACUGACGCUCAUGCACGAAAGCGUGGGGAGCAAACA